GCUGCCGGGCCGCCCACCGUCGCCACAGCGCUCUGCCCCCGGGUAUGGGUUGUCAAGGCCAGCCCGGUUACGCCCCUCGAUGCCCGCGGGUGGUUCGCCCUCUACCCCGGCGCGCGGGCAGGGCCUUCUCCGGAUUUAUUUCAGAUUCCAUGAUGGUCUGGUGGAAGAUGAGAAGAGACCCAAAGUCCUGAACUGGCUCAUCUCUCAUUUCCAUGGCAGGGGGAGGCUGAGAAGGGCAGGGGAAAGUAUGAAUCCAGUUUUCCACCAAAAAACAGUGCAGCUAAGGAUACUACUUGGUUUCACCUAUGCCAAAAGAAUAUUUGGAGUACCAAAUAAGAGUAUCCCUAAAUUGCUGAGUCUCAUGAGUUGCUGAAGCUAGCCUUUGAAUUUAGGAUCAUCCUGCUGCAUUCUGCCUCAGGCUUCUAAGUCACUGGGAUUACAGUUGUUGAUGGACCUCUUUACUUUAUUCA